rnacentral:tRNA from 1 species
GCGGGAGUGGCGGAAUGGUAGACGCGCUGGUCUCAAACACCAGUGACUUCACGGUCGUGAGGGUUCGAGUCCCUCCUCCCGCACCA